UACGGGGGGGGCAAGCGUUGUUCGGAAUUACUGGGCGUAAAGGGCGCGUAGGCGGCCAGCACAAGUCAGUUGUGAAAUCUCCGAGCUUAACUCGGAAAGGUCAACUGAUACUGUGCGGCUAGAGUGCGGAAGGGGCAACUGGAAUUCUUGGUGUAGCGGUGAAAUGCGUAGAUAUCAAGAGGAACACCUGCGGCGAAGGCGGGUUGCUGGGCCGACACUGACGCUGAGGCGCGAAAGCCAGGGGAGCGAACGGG
rnacentral:rRNA from 1 species